GACAGAGGGUGCGAACGUUGUUCGGAAUUACUGGGCGUAAAGCGCAUGUAGGCGGCAGCGCAAGUCGGGCGUGAAAUCCCACGGCUCAACCGUGGAAGUGCACUCGAAACUGCGCAGCUAGAGUCCUGGAGAGGAAGGUGGAAUGCUUGGUGUAGAGGUGAAAUUCGUAGAUAUCAAGCGGAACACCGGUGGCGAAGGCGGCCUUCUGGACAGU
rnacentral:rRNA from 1 species